CCACUGUGCCUACUGCAGUUCUUUUCAUUUGAGCCCAUGGUGCUUCUCUGGGCACUGCAUGUGUACACACAGUCAUGGCAUUUCAGCCAGGCAGGCACAGACCACUAAGGACACCUCACCAGGAUCAGAGAAGAGCCGUACUCUGAGUGGGUGUCCUCACUCCAUUUGUGCUCCAUGGAGAAGUUAGCCCUUGGAUAAACCCAAAAAUGACAGCUCUAUCUUUGAUGGGUCAAUUAUAGGAAGUUCUGAAGAUGCCAUUCCUCUGGAGAAUGACUUCAUGAGGGUUAUCUGAAAACUCCCCUGGCAUGACUCAGAAACUCUUUUGGGGACCAAUGAAUGGGGUAAAGGGGAUGACUAACACCCCCUUUCCCAAAGAGUCAGCCUCCCACCAUUAAAAACUCCAGGAAAUAAGAACUUACUUCCUUGGGAAUGUGUGAUGAUGACUCCAUUUCCAGAUCAAUGAGAAAAUUCAACAAUGAGUUGAAGGACCAUGAGAAACUUCUAAGGUCCCUUUAACAUCUAAUCUAUGGACUUCACUAAUUUAAUCAACUUACUUUACGGAGGAAACAUCUGCUCUGAUGGGGCAAGUGACUUGUCCAAGAUCACCCAUCUAGUGUUUUCUUUACUACAGAGAUGAAUCUGCAGAAGUCCCAGGGAUACCUUGGUCAUAAGAAGUCUCAGGUACAAGUUAUCCAAGAUGGAACAGGAGUUCAAGAGCACAUCUAUUUACUGGACAAAAUAAAGCUCCAUGGUAAGACAGUUUGCAUCUGACAGUCCACUUGUGGCCAUUCCCCCACAUCCCAUUCUCUCGAUGAGAACUGAGACCUUCAGUUCAGUGGUACCUGGGCUCAGGAACAGCCUCAAGGUAAGAGCUCUGCCCCACCACCUUGGACAAUGAGGACAUUUAAAGAGACUUAGUGGACCAAGCAUGAUGCAGAGGAAGAAAUAUGGGCUCAGACUUCUGUGCUGAGAAGCUGAGAAGCAGAACAAAAGGAAGGAAGUUUCCCCCAGGUUCUGAAAUAGUCAAGCUGUCACUCAAUAAGAUGAGAGAUUGGGCAGUCACAGAGAAAACAGAGAUUUGGCCAGGGAUUUUGCCCGUGGAAUCACAAUCUGGAAAUGUUUCUUUCUGGCUGCCCUGGAAGUUCACCAUUUCCAAGCUGCAUGAGAAGCUGAAUGGGCUCUU
rnacentral:lncRNA from 1 species